rnacentral:rRNA from 1 species
UACGUAGGGUGCAAGCGUUGUCCGGAAUUAUUGGGCGUAAAGAGCUCGUAGGCGGUCUGUCGCGUCGAAUGUGAAAACCCGGGACUCAACUCCGGGCCUGCAUUCGAUACGGGCAGACUAGAGUUCGGUAGGGGAGACUGGAAUUCCUGGUGUAGCGGUGAAAUGCGCAGAUAUCAGGAGGAACACCGGUGGCGAAGGCGGAUCUCUGGGCCGUAACUGACGCUGAGGAGCGAAAGCAUGGGUAGCGAACAGG